rnacentral:rRNA from 1 species
UCAGAGGGGGNUAGAAUUCCACGUGUAGCAGUGAAAUGCGUAGAGAUGUGGAGGAAUACCGAUGGCGAAGGCAGCCCCCUGGGAUAACACUGACGUUCAUGCUCGAAAGCGUGGGUAGCAAACAGGAUUAGAUACCCUGGUAGUCCACGCCCUAAACGAUGUCAAUUAGCUGUUGGGCAACUUGAUUGCUUAGUAGCGUAGCUAACGCGUGAAAUUGACCGCCUGGGGAGUACGGUCGCAAGAUUAAAACUCAAAGGAAUUGACGGGGACCCGCACAAGCGGUGGAUGAUGUGGAUUAAUUCGAUGCAACGCGAAGAACCUUACCUGGUCUUGACAUGUACGGAAUCUUCCAGAGACGGGAGAGUGCCUUCGGGAACCGUAACACAGGUGCUGCAUGGCUGUCGUCAGCUCGUGUCGUGAGAUGUUGGGUUAAGUCCCGCAACGAGCGCAACCCUUGUCAUUAGUUGCCAUCAUUCAGUUGGGCACUCUAAUGAGACUGCCGGUGACAAACCGGAGGAAGGUGGGGAUGACGUCAAGUCCUCAUGGCCCUUAUGACCAGGGCUUCACACGUCAUACAAUGGUCGGUACAGAGGGUAGCCAAGCCGCGAGGUGGAGCCAAUCCCAGAAAACCGAUCGUAGUCCGGAUUGCACUCUGCAACUCGAGUGCAUGAAGUCGGAAUCGCUAGUAAUCGCAGGUCAGCAUACUGCGGUGAAUACGUUCCCGGGUCUUGUACAC